rnacentral:rRNA from 1 species
AACCAGCUCUUCAAGUGGUCGGGAUGAUUAUUGGGCUUAAAGUGUCCGUAGCCGGUUUAGUAAGUUCCUGGUAAAAUCAGGUAGCUUAACUAUCUGUAUGCUAGGAAUACUACUAUACUAGAGGGCGGGAGAGGUCUGAGGUACUAUAGGGGUAGGGGUGAAAUCUUAUAAUCCUUGUAGGACCACCAGUGGCGAAGGCGUCAGACUGGAACGUGCCUGACGGUGAGGGACGAAAGCCAGGGGAGCGAACCGGAUUAGAUACCCGGGUAGUCCUGGCCGUAAACGAUGCAUACUAGGUGAUGGCCCGGCCAUGAGCCGUGUCAGUGCCGUAGGGAACCGUUAAGUGUGCCGCCUGGGAAGUACGGUCGCAAGGCUAAAACUUAAAGGAAUUGGGCGGGGAGCACCACAAGGGGUGAAGCCUGCGGUUC